rnacentral:rRNA from 1 species
UGGGGAAUAUUGGGCAAUGGGCGCAAGCCUGACCCAGCAACGCCGCGUGAAGGAAGAAGGCCCUCGGGUUGUAAACUUCUUUUAUCAGGGACGAAGGAGUGACGGUACCUGAUGAAUAAGCCACGGCUAACUACGUGCCAGCAGCCGCGGUAAUACGUAGGUGGCAAGCGUUAUCCGGAUUUACUGGGUGUAAAGGGCGUGUAGGCGGGAUGGUAAGUCAGAUGUGAAAACUCAGGGCUCAACCCUGAGCCUGCAUUUGAAACUAUCGUUCUUGAGUGAUGGAGAGGCAGGCGGAAUUCCGUGUGUAGCGGUGAAAUGCGUAGAUAUACGGAGGAACACCAGUGGCGAAGGCGGCCUGCUGGACAUUAACUGACGCUGAGGCGCGAAAGCGUGGGGAGCAAACAGGAUUAGAUACCC